UACGUAGGGGGCAAGCGUUGUCCGGAAUUAUUGGGCGUAAAGAGCUCGUAGGCGGUUCGUCGCGUCGGCUGUGAAAACCCGGAGCUCAACUCCGGGCCUGCAGUCGAUACGGGCGGGCUAGAGUUCGGCAGGGGAGACUGGAAUUCCUGGUGUAGCGGUGAAAUGCGCAGAUAUCAGGAGGAACACCGGUGGCGAAGGCGGGUCUCUGGGCCGAUACUGACGCUGAGGAGCGAAAGCGUGGGGAGCGAACAGG
rnacentral:rRNA from 1 species